rnacentral:rRNA from 1 species
GGAAGUGGGAUGACGUCGAAUCAUCAUGCCCUUAUGACCUGGGCUACACACGUGCUACAAUGGUUGGUACAACGAGUUGCGAGUCGGUGACGGCGAGCUAAUCUCUUAAAGCCAAUCUCAGUUCGGAUUGUAGGCUGCAACUCGCCUACAUGAAGUCGGAAUCGCUAGUAAUCGCGGAUCAGCACGCCGCGGUGAAUACGUUCCCGGGCCUU